UAGGAAGGUUGAGAACCACUGUCCUAAGCAAUCAGCCUCCAUUUUUUUUCUCCGGGCUUGGAACUGGACCUGAUUUUUCUUUUAACAGUCUCUUACCAUUAACCAUACUGUGUGGCUCUGGUGGGAAAUCAAGUUCAAUAUUUGGAGAUCUGUACCUGCCCGCUUUUAACUUCUCCUUUCAUCUAUUCCUGCUUUUCCCCUGUUUGCCCUAAAAUUUCAUUGAUAUUAAAGUGUCUGCUUUCAGUAAAGCUUUGGAAGUUGGAAAUCAUUCCUUGUUAUCUGAUAUAUCUCAGAUAUUCAGUUUACAGUUAUUAUAAGCUUCUAAAAGUCAUUUUUGUUUUAUUUAUUUUUGCUGGAACGGAAAGGAAUUGAGAUCUUGGUUUAAUUCCAUCGGCCACUGAACUGUGAAAUACUUGGAUACUUGCUUGCCAGCCUUUUACCUUUAGCUUACACAAGGGUUAUUUUUUGUCUUUUAGUGCAAAGCUUAUAUCAUAAAAGAACCUCAUAAGAGCUUGAUGUCUCAGCUUGUGAAAGAAUGUGGAAUUGUUUGCUUGUAGUGUCUGUUUGGUUGUUGUCAUCUGUAAUAGAAUAGACAGUGCCUGUUGGAGACUAAAAAGCUAACAAUGGCUUUCAACAAUGUUCUUACAGACUUUUUCCACAUUUAAAAAGUAAUAGUUAAAAUUAUAUCUGAACCUCAUGCUACUUUCUCAAACCCAUUUUUAUCAGCUAACUAGGACUCUUCUUCCAAAUAGAUAUUUAAAAGUGCAGCCAAGUAAAAAGAAAAAGAAGGAAAAAAUAAAAAUUAAAAAAAAAAAAGAUUACAAGCUGUGCAAAAUUAAUUUUUUAAUUAACUAUAGUUCUGUGUUUAAAGAUGAUCUUAUAUCAGUGUACUACUUUAAAACUUGUUAUCAAUAAUUAGGAAAGGCAACCAAUAUGUUAUGAAUAAUCAGAAUGAACAAUUAAUAGCAAUUUGGGAUGAAUCUGAUAGCAUCUGUAGUUAUUAUAACAAGUAAGCAAAAUCUUUUUUAAAAAGUCUUAUGCUAAAGGAAACUCAAACUUCAGAUGUAGUUUAAGUCCAUGUCCAGAAUUAUAGUUUAUAAAUGGUUUCUAUUUUCUGAAUUAAGUUUAAACUCAGUAUCAGAUUUAUUUGAUUUGUUUUAAUACAGGAUUAUAUAUGACACUAAGACACAUUCCGUAUCUUGGGAACCUAUAUUGGAGCUAUCCUUGCUGGGGUAUGAAAUGUACACUUUCCCAACAAGGGCUAAGCCAAAUCUAGAGAAACAUAAAGAAAAAAACCUUGGGAAAUGGGCAUGGUGAUACAAAGUGCCAGUGUCCAGUAUCAUUGUCAUAAGAUUUUUUCUGGGCCUCCACAGUCCCCAAGACAA